rnacentral:rRNA from 1 species
ACGCUGGCGGCAGGCCUAACACAUGCAAGUCGAGCGGAUGAAAGGAGCUUGCUCCUGGAUUCAGCGGCGGACGGGUGAGUAAUGCCUAGGAAUCUGCCUGGUAGUGGGGGACAACGUUUCGAAAGGAACGCUAAUGCCGCAUACGUCCUACGGGAGAAAGCAGGGGACCUUCGGGCCUUGCGCUAUCAGAUGAGCCUAGGUCGGAUUAGCUAGUUGGUGAGGUAAUGGCUCACCAAGGCGACGAUCCGUAACUGGUCUGAGAGGAUGAUCAGUCACACUGGAACUGAGACACGGUCCAGACUCCUACGGGAGGCAGCAGUGGGGAAUAUUGGACAAUGGGCGAAAGCCUGAUCCAGCCAUGCCGCGUGUGUGAAGAAGGUCUUCGGAUUGUAAAGCACUUUAAGUUGGGAGGAAGGGUUGUAGAUUAAUACUCUGCAAUUUUGACGUUACCGACAGAAUAAGCACCGGCUAACUCUGUGCCAGCAGCCGCGGUAAUACAGAGGGUGCAAGCGUUAAUCGGAAUUACUGGGCGUAAAGCGCGCGUAGGUGGUUUGUUAAGUUGGAUGUGAAAUCCCCGGGCUCAACCUGGGAACUGCAUCCAAAACUGGCAAGCUAGAGUAUGGUAGAGGGUGGUGGAAUUUCCUGUGUAGCGGUGAAAUGCGUAGAUAUAGGAAGGAACACCAGUGGCGAAGGCGACCACCUGGACUGAUACUGACACUGAGGUGCGAAAGCGUGGGGAGCAAAC